rnacentral:rRNA from 1 species
UCUGGUGCCAGCAGCCGCGGUAAUUCCAGCUCCAAUAGCGUAUAUUAAAGUUGUUGCAGUUAAAAAGCUACGUAGUUGAAUUUCGGAAUCUGUCCGUCGGUCGGGCUUCACUGUCCGCACUGGUGUGAUGGGUUUCUACCUUCUGAAUAACCGGCAUGUCAUUAAUUUGGUGCGCCGGGGAAGCAGAACUAUUACCUUGAAA